rnacentral:tRNA from 1 species
GGCUUCGUAGCUCAGCUGGCAUAGCGCUCUCAGCGUUGAGGCAUGCUGUGUCUGUCGCUGGUUCGAAUCCAGCUGAAGCUG